rnacentral:rRNA from 1 species
UACGUAGGGUGCGAGCGUUGUCCGGAAUUAUUGGGCGUAAAGAGCUUGUAGGCGGUUUGUCGCGUCUGCUGUGAAAUCUCAAGGCUCAACCUUGAGCUUGCAGUGGGUACGGGCAGACUAGAGUGUGGUAGGGGAGACUGGAAUUCCUGGUGUAGCGGUGAAAUGCGCAGAUAUCAGGAGGAACACCUGUGGCGAAAGCGGCUCACUGGACCAUAACUGACGCUGGAUGCACGAAAGCUAGGGGAGCAAACAGG